GGGGAUAUAAUAUAGUGGUAGUAUCUCAUGUUUGCAUCAUGAUUGUCAGAGUUCGAUUCUCUGUGUCUCCA
rfam:Macrophomina phaseolina MS6 contig01068, whole genome shotgun sequence.